GAUGAACGCUAGCUACAGGCUUAACACAUGCAAGUCGAGGGGCAGCGGGAUUGAAGCUUGCUUCACUUGCCGGCGACCGGCGCACGGGUGAGUAACGCGUAUCCAACCUUCCGUACACUCAGGGAUAGCCUUUCGAAAGAAAGAUUAAUACCUGAUGGUAUGAUGAGAUUGCAUGAUAUCAUCAUUAAAGAUUUAUCGGUGUACGAUGGGGAUGCGUUCCAUUAGGUAGUAGGCGGGGUAACGGCCCACCUAGCCAACGAUGGAUAGGGGUUCUGAGAGGAAGGUCCCCCACAUGGUAACUGAGACACGGGCCAAACUCCUACGGGAGGCAGCAGUGAGGAAGAUUGGUCAAUGGACGAGAGUCUGAACCAGCCAAGUAGCGUGAAGGAUGAAGGUCCUACGGAUUGUAAACUUCUUUUAUAAGGGAAUAAACCCUCCCACGUGUGGGAGCUUGGAUGUACCUUAUGAAUAGGCAUCGGCUAACUCCGUG
rnacentral:rRNA from 1 species